UGAAUGAUUGUAGAGAUAAUGUUGUUGUAUGUAUAAUGUUGGGAGCUUUGAAAUGGUAUGUCUAUCCCUACACUCAAAGCAUUGUUCAUACUCAAAUAGAGAAAAAUAGUGUGAGUGGUGAGAGUAGAGGGAGGUCCUCGUCUAUAGUCUUGGAGUUUAGACAUAGACAAAUUAGGGGGACUUACCUUGCAUAGUGUUGGAGAUGGGUCAGCUGAACUAUGCAAGUGCAAAGACAACCAAUAGCUAGACAGUUAUACAAAAUUCGGAUGAGUCGUGUUGAGUAGUUGAUGUAUGCUUUGAAUGGUAUGCCCUGCUUGUUUUCUUAUAUGUUCUUAAGCAUGAUGACAUUGAUUUACUGUUUUGUAUGUAUGCUUACGGUUUACCUACCUCACCCUUACUUUUGUGUUGUAUGUUGCUUGGAUGAUGGAAUCCUCUCUGACGCAUUCCUCUUUUUCUUAUUUUUACAUUUUAUUGUAUUCGUAGUGUAGCUUGUAAGGAGCAUGGGUCACUAUAAAUACCCAGCUCCUCAUUGUAUUUCCCACUUUUGAGAUUGAUGAGAAUAAACUUUUGUAAUUCAGAAAAUUAUUCUCUCUUGAAAGUCAUAGGCUAGAGAGUCCAAAGACCUCUAGCCACCUUCCAAAGCACACUUCCUAUUUUUCAUUUUUCCAUUUCUCCAUUGUGCUUUUCUCUCACCAGACGCUGCCAUCAUACGAUGUCAACCAUUCCUUUGCUGACACCUCCUCUGCCUGCGUCAGCCAUCUAAAUCAUCAUUUCAUUUCUCCUUCAUACGCAUCGGAUCCAAACUCGCUGAAUCAUAUUUCUACUUUUCUCUCGAGCACACUAGAGGACUCACUUCCUUUCGAGAGUUCUUCAUGGUAAACAUCAUUUCCUCUUCACAGAUCUUCCAUUAUUCUCCACAGAUUUCGUUUCUCUGUGCUUCUUCACCAACACAGAACAUCAAAACCUAGGGCUUACUUCCUUUCUCCACCAUUUCCCAACUAUCCACCGAUUGAACUCCAAUUUUUGUCGAUUGAAAGCCUUUCUAACCCUUGAUCUACCUUUUCCACCGUUUAACUUUGAGUUUGAACCGAUUAAUUGGUUCAAUUUGUGAUUCUCCCCAUUUCUAGGGUUUUAGUUGUCUAAGUUAAGGAUUUUUGAGUUCCUUCUCAGAUUUGAUCCGUUCUCUUCCAAUUUCUCUCGGUCAAAAGAUUAUUCAACAUUUCCACUGCGUCAUUUCUCUAUGGAGAAGCUUCGAGGACUUCGAUUAGUGUUCGCACCGCUCUGAAAGGUGAUCUCCUCGAGGCCUCUUCCAUCAUUGGGCAUGUUUUUUCUUGCAAUGAUCAUCCACUUGGAUGGGAGCAGAUGUUAUUGAGGAGGUUCCGUUGGAGCAAGUGCUGGAGGACGCUGACGCUGCAACCUAGUUCUCCCUAUGAUUUCUUUGUUUUACCUGAUAUUAUUUUGGGAAUACUCUUAUCGGUGUACUACCUUGUUGUACUCUUUAUGUCUAAGUUUUAGGUUUAGACUUCU
rnacentral:lncRNA from 1 species